UAGAAAUUUAAAUUUAAUAUAGUAUGUUUGGCAUUAUUGUAAAGAGAAAUAAUUAUUUUGAGUUCAGGUUUUUGAUUUUUGGUCGGACUUGGGUUUGAAUAUGGGUUUUUAAAAUUCGUCAUAUUCGGGUUUGGAUUCAGAUUUCUGAUUUGAUAAUUGGAUUCGGGUUUGGAUUUUUAAAAAUCCGUCUUGAAUCUGACGCGCGCGUUGACAUCCCAUCUUCAUGAUGAGAAUUUUGAACGAAUUGAUAGCUAAACAGAGCAUUCAAACUUUAAAGUCAAAGUAUCACUGACUGACGCAAAUUAAACGAAUUAACAGAUUUGAUAGUAAAAUUAAAAUUUUAAAAAAAAAAUAGAUAACCAAAUUAACAUAGCCUAUCGUUCAGAUAAAUAAUUAAAUCAAAAUUCAACAUAAUUUUGGUAAGUUUCGUAUAAAUUUACCAUAGGAAAACAAGGUAAAAAUAUAUAGAACUUAUCUAAAGUAUAAAUUAUUUUGAAUCGACUAUCCAACUUUUAAAAUUUUUCUUUUACUAACCAAUUUUGUAACUUAUUUGAUUUGAGUCAGUCAACGGUACUAUGACUUAAAAUUUAAGCUAAUUAUUUAUUUUAGUGAAUUUAUAGUUGUAAGAAUUGCAAGAAAUAUAUUUACUAAACCUAUAAUUAAAAAUAAAUAAACAAAAUAUUUAAAUUUUGAAGUCAAAGUAUCGUUAACUGAUUCAAAUUAAACAAAUUGACAUAUUAAAAUUUUUUAAAUAAUUAAAUAAUUAAAUUAAAAUGGUCUACGAUUCAAAUAAUUUGUAAAUUUUUACGAAAAAAGAUGUAUCAAU
rnacentral:lncRNA from 1 species